ACGUGGAUCAGAGGAUGAAAUGGCAAUUGCAUUCCAAUCAAUUUCCGGGCAUUCUUUCUGGUACUUGAAAUGUCCCCCUAAUGCCGGGAAAUGUUCCUCAUUAAAGAUACAAUCAGCGUGACUGUAACAUCCCAAAAUUUCAAAUUCUUACAUAUGCAUUGCAUUCAUGACCAUCAUGCCACAAUUGCAUAUUUGAAUUCAAAUUUGAAUCUCAAAAGGCUUUGGAAAGAUUUUAUUUCAAUUUAAACCCUGGGGUUUACACCCCUUUGAGCUAUGGAUCUUCAAACCAAUAGGAUUUAUUUAUAAAAGGGGUUUAUUGCAUAAAUGUGCUAUCCCAUAAUUUGUGGAUAAUUAUUUGGAGUUGAAAAACUAUUUUAUUUAAUUACUUAUAUAGCCCUAAAGGCAUUUAUAGGGAAAAUGUAUUUUUAGAUAUUUUAUUUUGAGGGGAAAUUACUCCCAAAAGUUGAAUCAUGAUAAAACAUGAUUUUACAAAUUUUCUGGAAUUUAUUUGGACCAAUUUGGAGUUCAAAAUCAAAAGAUAUCAAAGAAAUGAGAAAAAGGGAAAAAGAAAAGGCUAAGGAAAAAAAAGGAAGAAAACCGGAUCGUCCCGGCCAAAUGGGCCGAACCGGCCCAGUCCCGCCCGAGCCGCCCGAACCGAGCCGGCCCAGGUGCGCGCGCGCCGCGUGAGCCACCGACAGGUGGGCCCCACCUGUCGGGGUCAUCUUCCCCGCGGGGAAAGCCCCGCGCAUCACGCCGCCCGACCCACGCGCGCCGUCGCUGCCGCCAUCGCCGCUCCCCGC
rnacentral:lncRNA from 1 species